rnacentral:lncRNA from 1 species
GGCCACGGGCACAGCCGCGCCCAAAAAUGAGCGCCCGAAGGUCGGGGCGCCAACGCCCCCCAGCGGAAAAAUGGCCAAAAAAUGGGUGGGCUAUAGCCUUGGCGGGGGGCGUUGGCGAAGUUCGUCCGCCGGACUCGGAAUGGCCCCAGACUUUGCGGGCGGGCUCCGUGUGCCAAAAAUAGGCCACGGGCACAGCCGCGCCCAAAAAUGAGCGCCCGAUGGUCCGGGCGCAAACACCCCCCAGCGGAAAAAUGGCCAAGAAACGGGUCUGCUAUAGCCUUGGUGGGGGGCGUGGGCGAAGUUCGUCCGCCGGACUCGGAAUGGCCCCAGACUUUGCGGGCGGCCUCCGUGUGCCAAAAAUAGGCCACGGGCACAGCCGCGCCCAAAAAUGAGCGCCCGAUGGUCGGGGCGCCAACACCCCCCAGCGGAAAAAUGGCCAAAAAACGUGUGGGCUAUAGCCUUGGCGGGGGGCGUGGGCGAAGUUCGUACUCCGGACUCGGAAUGGCCCCAGACUUUGCGGGCGGCCUCCGUGUGCCAAAAAUAGUCCACGGGCACAGCCGCGCCCAAAAAUGAGCACCCGAAGGACGGGGCGCCAACACCCCCCAGCGGAAAAAUGGCCAAGAAACGGGUGUGCUAUAGCCUUGGUGGGGGGCGCGGGCGAAGUUUGUCCGCCGGACUCGGAAUGGCCCCAGACUUUUCGGGCGGCCUCCGUGUGCCAAAAAUAGGCCACGGGCACAGCCGCGCCCAAGAAUGAGUGCCCGAAGGUCGCGGCGCCAACACCCCCAGCGGAAAAAUGGCCAAAAAACGGGUGGGCUAUAGCCUUGGCGGGGGGCGUGGGCGAAGUUCGUCCGCGGGACUCGGAAUGGCCCCAGACUUUUCAGGCGGCUUCCGUGAGGCAAAAAUAGGCCACAGGCACAGCCGCGCCCAAAAAUGAGCGCCCGAAGGACGGGGCGCCAACACCCCCCAGCGGAAAAAUGGCCAAGAAACGGGUGUGCUAUAGGCUUGGUGGGGGGCGUGUGCUAUAGCCUUGAUAGGGGGCGUGGGCGAAGUUCGUCCGCCGGACUCGGAAUGGCCCCAGACUUUGCGGGCGGCCUCCGUGUGCCAAAAAUAGGCCACGGGCACAGCCGCGCCUGAAAAUGAGUGCCCGAAGGUCGUGGCGGCAACACCCCCCAGCGGAAAAAUGGCAAAAAAACGGGUGGGCUAUAGCCUUGGCGGGGGGCGUGGGCGAAGUUCGUCCGCGGGACUCGGAAUGGCCCCAGACUUUGCGGGCGGCCUCCGUGUGCCAAAAAUAGGCCACGGGCACAGCCGCGCCCAAAAAUGAGCGCCCGAUGGUCGGGGCGCCAACACCCCCCAGCGGAAAAAUGGCCAAGAAACGGGUGUGCUAUAGCCUUGGUGGGGGGCGUGGGCGAAGUUCGUCCGCCGGACUCGGAAUGGCCCCAGACUUUGCGGGCGGCCUCCGUUUGCCAAAAAUAGGCCACGGGCACAGCCGCGCCCAAAAAUGAGCGACCGAAGGUCGGUGCGCCAACACCCCCCAGCGGAAAAAUGGCCAAGAAACGGGUGUGCUAUAGCCUUGGUUGGGGCGUGGGCGAAGUUCGUCCGCCGGACUCGGAAUGGCCCCAGACUUUGCGGGCGGCCUCCGUGUGCCAAAAAUAGGCCACGGGCACAGCCGUCCCCAAAAAUGUUCGCCCGAAGGUCGGGGCGCCAACACCCCCCAGCGGAAAAAUGGCCAAGAAACGGGUGUGCUAUAACCUUGGUGGGGGGCGUGGGCGAAGUUCGUCCGCCGGACUCGGAAUGGCCCCAGACUUUGCGGGCGGCCUCCGUGUGCCAAAAAUAGGCCACGGGCACAGCCGCGCCCAAAAAUGAGCGCCCGAAGGUCGGGGCGCCAACACCCCCCAGCGGAAAAAUGGCCAAAAAACGAUUGGGCUAUAGCCUUGGCGGGGGGCGUGGGCGAAGUUCGUCCGCCGGACUCGGAAUGGCCCCAGACUUUGCGGGUGGCCUCCGUGUGCCAAAAAUAGGCCACGGGCACAGCCGCGCCAAAAAAUGAGCGCCCGAAGGGCGGGCCGACAAGCCCCCCCAGCAGAAAAAUGGCCAAAAAAUGGGUGGGCUAUAGCCUUGGCGGGGGGCGUGGGCGAAGUUGGUCCGCCGGACUCGGAAUGGCCCCAGACUUUGCGGGCGGCCUCCGUUUGCCAAAAAUAGGCCACGGGCACAGCCGCGCCCAAAAAUGAGCAUCCGAAGGUCGGGGCGCCAACACCCCCCAGCGGAAAAAUGGCAAAAAAACGUGUGGGCUAUAGCCUUGGUGGGGGGCGUGGGCGAAUUUCGUACGCCGGACUCGGAAUGGCCCCAGACUUUGCGGGCGGCCUCCGUGUGCCAAAAAUAGGCCACGGGCACAGCCGCGCCCAAAAAUGAGCGCCCGAAGGUCGGGGCGCCAACACCCCCCAGCGGAAAAAUGGCCAAGAAACGGUGUGCUAUAGCCUUGGUGGGGGGCGUGGGCGAAGUUCGUCCGCCGGACUCGGAAUGGCCCCAGACUUUGCGGGCGGCCUCCGUUUGCCAAAAAUAGGCCACGCGCACAGCCGCGCCCAAAAAUGAGCGCCCGAAGGUCGGUGCGCCAACACCCCCCAGCGGAAAAAUGGCCAAGAAACGGGUGUGCUAUAGCCUUGGUGGGGGGCGUGGGCGAAGUUCGUCCGCCGGACUCGGAAUGGCCCCAGACUUUGCGGGCGGCCUCCGUGUGCCAAAAAUAGGCCACGGGCACAGCCGUCCCCAAAAAUGUUCGCCCGAAGGUCGGGGCGCCAACACCCCCCAGCGGAAAAAUGGCCAAGAAACGGGUGUGCUAUAACCUUGGUGGGGGGCGUGGGCGAAGUUCGUCCGCCGGACUCGGAAUGGCCCCAGACUUUGCGGGCGGCCUCCGUGUGCCAAAAAUAGGCCACGGGCACAGCCGUGCCCAAAAAUGAGCGCCCGAAGGUCGGGGCGCCAACACCCCCCAGCGGAAAAAUGGCCAAAAAACGGGUGGGCUAUAGCCUUGGCGGGGGGCGUGGGCGAAGUUCGUCCGCCGGACUCGGAAUGGCCCCAGACUUUGCGGGUGGCCUCCGUGUGCCAAAAAUAGGCCACGGGCACAGCCGCACCCAAAAAUGAGCGCCCGAAGGUCGGGGCGACAACACCCCCCAGCGGAAAAAUGGCCAAAAAACGGGUGGGCCAUAGCCUUGGCAGGGGGCGUGGGCGAAGUUCGUCCGCCGGACUCGGAAUGGCCCCAGAAUUUGCGGGCGGCCUCCGUUUGCCAAAAAUAGGCCACGGGCACAGCCGCGCCCAAAACUAAACGCCCGAAGGUCAUGGUGCCAAAACCCCCCAGCGGAAAAAUGGCCAAAAAACGGGUGGGCUAUAGCCUUGGUGGGGGGCGCGGGCGAAGUUCGUCCGCCGGACUCGGAAUGGGGCGAGACUUUGCGAGGGGCCUCGGGGUGCCAAAAAUAAGCCGCGGGCAAAGCCGCGCCCAAAAAUAAGCGCCCGAAGGUCGUGGUGCCAAAACCCCCCAGCGGAAAAAUGGCCAAAAAACGGGUGGGCUAUAGCCUUGGAGGGGGGCGCGGGCGAAGUUCGUCCGCCGGACUCGGAAUGGGGCGAGACUUUACGAGGGGCCUCGGGGUGCCAAAGAUAAGCCGCGCCCAAAAAUAAGCGCCCGAAUAUCGUGGUGCCAAAACCCCCAGCGGAAAAAUGGCCAAAAAACGGGUGGGCUAUAGCCUUGGUGGGGGGCGCGGGCGAAGUUCGUCCGCCGGACUCGGAAUGGGGCGAGACUUUGCGAGGGGCCUCCGGGUGCCAAAAAUAAGCCGCGGGCAAAGCCGCGCCCAAAAAUCAGCGCCCGAAGGUCGUGGUGCCAAAACCCCCUAGCGGAAAAAUGGCCAAAAAACGGGUGGGCUAUAGCGUUGGUGGGGGGGGGGCGGG